UACGUAGGGUGCAAGCGUUGUCCGGAAUUAUUGGGCGUAAAGAGCUCGUAGGCGGUCUGUCGCGUCGGCUGUGAAAACCCGGGGCUCAACCCCGGGCCUGCAGUCGAUACGGGCAGACUAGAGUGCGGUAGGGGAGACUGGAAUUCCUGGUGUAGCGGUGGAAUGCGCAGAUAUCAGGAGGAACACCGAUGGCGAAGGCAGAUCUCUGGGCCGUAACUGACGCUGAGGAGCGAAAGCGUGGGGAGCGAACAGG
rnacentral:rRNA from 1 species